rnacentral:tRNA from 1 species
CCGCCACUAGCUCAUCAGGAAAGAGAGUCACCCCUUUAAGUUGAGAGUGCGAGGUUCGAGUCUCCGGUGGCGGUCCA